UUCUACGGCCAUGACAUCUGAACAAGCCCGAUCCCGUCUGAUCUUGGAAGCUAACAGGGUUGGGCCUGGUUAGUACCUGGAUGGAGACCACCUAGGAAGACCAGGUGCCAUAGGCA
rnacentral:rRNA from 1 species